rnacentral:rRNA from 1 species
GAUGAACGCUAGCUACAGGCUUAACACAUGCAAGUCGAGGGGAAACGAUAUUGGAAGCUUGCUUCCGAUAGGCGUCGACCGGCGCACGGGUGAGUAACGCGUAUCCAACCUGCCCACCACUUGGGGAUAACCUUGCGAAAGUAAGACUAAUACCCAAUGACGUCCAUAGAAGACAUCUGAAAUGGAUUAAAGAUUUAUCGGUGAUGGAUGGGGAUGCGUCUGAAUAGCUUGUUGGCGGGGUAACGGCCCACCAAGGCGACGAUCAGUAGGGGUUCUGAGAGGAAGGUCCCCACAUUGGAACUGAGACACGGUCCAAACUCCUACGGGAGGCAGCAGUGAGGAAUAUUGGUCAAUGGGCGAGAGCCUGAACCAGCCAAGUAGCGUGCAGGAUGACGGCCCUAUGGGUUGUAAACUGCUUUUAUAAGGGAAUAAAGUGAGCCUCGUGAGGCUUUUUGCAUGUACCUUAUGAAUAAGGACCGGCUAAUUCCGUGCCAGCCGCCGCAGUAA